rnacentral:lncRNA from 1 species
UUUAAUUUUUAUUCCUGCUUAUCCCAAUUUAUUCUUAUUCCAAUAGAUUCCGACUUUCAAGGUUGAUAAACACACCAUGAGUUGAUUGAAAAUUAUACUUUUUGGAUAAAUACAUCAAUAAAACUAUAUUUACGAAUUGAUAUACCUAUCUUAUAUAUUUGAGGCGAUGAACUUACGUGGUAUGAAAUGGUUGCUUGGUUAAGAUCAUUAACGACUUUCACCUGCCACGCAAAGUGGGACAAGGGUUCUGAAUUGACUGAUGGAGAAACACGAAAAGACUUGUAACGAUUGUAAUGUAUAAGUGUUUGUGACUUGUGAGGUAGAUGGAUCCUUUAACCAAAAGAAUGCUUGCAGAUUAAAUAUCACUGCUUGCAGUUGCCAAAUUUAUUAUCCUCUACCUACGAACUCAUAUGAUAGUGAUACGUAGCUACAGCUUGUCCCCUCUAUCUCUAUCCAAUUAACUUGAUUUAAAGAAUGUAAUACGAAAGUUGUAAUGUAACAUUUAUACAGCAUUAACUCGUAUCAAUAUCCUCUUAAGGGAAGAAAAAAUAUUAAUAACCAAACAAACACAGAAACAAACUUGUAUCAGUAACCUUUCAUUUCAAUCUCAGUGUUGGAUUCUAGCAUAUAACUAGUAGUUGACACAAAUAAUUGUCAUUAAACUGAUAACAACGUUUCUAAUUAUAUAUUAUCAUCGAAGAUUCAAGCAAAGAGCGCAUGAAAGUACAAGGUAAUUAUAGCUAAUGGUUGACACAAAUAUAUAGCUGUCAUUAAACUAAAUGUCGGUAUUUAUCAAAUUAAAUUAUAGCUACCUUAGUACUAAAUAUGAGUUUAAUUAGAUGAGAUGAGAUUUGAUGUGCCUUAAAAAACAUUGCCCUCGAGCAAUGCCCCUCUUUAGUAUACUAGAGGUUCUACGUCACGAUCUAACGCGCAACCACCGACUAAUAAUAUUAAGACACAUGGUAAUAAAAAUUAAAAAAAUAAAAUAAA